rnacentral:rRNA from 1 species
AGUGAACGCUGGCGGUAGGCCUAACACAUGCAAGUCGAACGGCAGCACAGUAAGAGCUUGCUCUUACGGGUGGCGAGUGGCGGGCGGGUGCGGAGAACAUCGGUAUCUACUUUUCCGAGGGGGAGAACGUAGGGAAAAAUACGGCAAUACCGCAUACGACGAAAGGGGGAAAGCAGGGGACCUUAGGACAUUGCGUGAUUGAAUGAGGCGAGGUCGGAUUAGCUAGUUGGAGGGGUAAAGGCCCACCAAGGCGACGAUCCGUAGCUGGUCUGAGAGGAUGAUCAGCCACACUGGAACUGAGACACGGUCCAGACUCCUACGGGAGGCAGCAGUGGGGAAUAUUGGACAAUGGGCGCAAGCCUGAUCCAGCCAUGCCGCGUGGGUGAAGAAGGCCUUCGGAUUGUAAAGCCCUUUUGUUUGGGAAGAAGAGCAGCAGGUUAAUACCUUGCUGUUCUGACGGUACCCAAAGAAUAAGCACCGGCUAACUUCGUG